rnacentral:rRNA from 1 species
CCUACGGGCGGCAGCAGUGAGGAAUAUUGGUCAAUGGACGAGAGUCUGAACCAGCCAAGUAGCGUGAAGGAUGACUGCCCUAUGGGUUGUAAACUUCUUUUAUAUGGGAAUAAAAUGUUCCACGUGUGGGAUUUUGUAUGUACCAUAUGAAUAAGGAUCGGCUAACUCCGUGCCAGCAGCCGCGGUAAUACGGAGGAUCCGAGCGUUAUCCGGAUUUAUUGGGUUUAAAGGGAGCGUAGGUGGAUUGUUAAGUCAGUUGUGAAAGUUUGCGGCUCAACCGUAAAAUUGCAGUUGAAACUGGCAGUCUUGAGUACAGUAGAGGUGGGCGGAAUUCGUGGUGUAGCGGUGAAAUGCUUAGAUAUCACGAAGAAGUCCGAUUGCGAAGGCAGUUCACUGGACUGCAACUGACACUGAGGCUCGAAAGUGUGGGUAUCAAACAGGAUUAGAUACCCCAGUAGUC